AAGACUGUGACUUUUAACGAGUCUCACUGUUGAACAGAGUCAGCUUUAGCAUCACAUGGAGUUAUGCACGAUGUGGUUCAUGUGACACCAGAGAAAUGCUUUUACUCCCUCGAGGGCUGGAGUCAAUUGGGAUCGACAGAGGUUAACCUGAGCAGGCUGCCGGGAUUCCAGCUCAUGACCCUUCCGAAGAUGUCAUUAAUGGCACAGCUCUCUCACAUUUCUUAGAACAGUUCUAAGAAAUGACUCCUGCUGCAUCCCUUCAAUUUAAGACGAGUGACUAAGCAGUAAUGACACAAAAGGAUUCGCGAGGAGAGACUAGUUACAAAACCAGCCGUGCCUGUGCCUUUCUCAUUUACGACGUCCCUCCUUUCCUCUGCACUCGCUUCCUGCUGUGGUGGGUGGAUUUGCACAUGGACACAGGUCUCUGUCACUCGUCCUCACAGCAGGCUAUACCCAUGUUUUGUAGCACUUCGCAUACUUGUCGUCAUUUUAUUAAUACUUUGUAAAUAUGUACAUAUCAUCGUCUUCCUGAGGACUCAGUUCCUGCAGGCAAGUCUGCACCUCCAGUAUCUGCCACAACUUCCUCCCGUGCCAGGAAAACACCAGCAUGGAGGAGAUACUCAAUGAACACUUGUCUACGGACGGGUCUGGAAGACCUGCUUCUCUGUGGUUUGGUUUCCAUUCACACUCUCCUCUGAUUUCAUCUCUAUAAAAGACGUCAGCAGACAGGAGAAACAUAACAGUGAUUCCCUCUGGAACCCAAGUUCUUCUAGGAGCGUGGUUCUCAACCAGGAAUAAUUUUCUUUAAAAUACCAACGUCCAGAUCCCAUGAAAUGAAAACCUCUGGGCUGGGAUUAAGCCUCAGAAUUUUUCGAGCCCCUGAUGAGUCAGUUAGCUCUGAGAACCAUAGCACUAAGCCUGUAGUUCCCAAAUUUGAGUGUGCCUAGGAUCAGCUGGGGUGGCUGUUGCGAAGUUCUCCCCCUCAGUGUAAACGCAAUAGACUAGACAACUGUUUCCAGAUUCUCCUCCCUCCACGCUAAGCACUAGCACCUUCCCACUGUGGGGGGGACACCUCCCAGCCACCUUUUCUGCUGAGCCGUGUGACUUGCUUUGGCCAGCGGGAUGGUGCCAGAUGAUCAGGCAGAGCCUUGAACAGCCCUGUGUGGUCCAGCCUGUGCACUGGCGCUUCUGCUAUGGCCAUGAGAAAAAUAUGCUUCCCCCAGCCAGCUGGCCUCAGGAGGAGGAGGAGAGACAUAUGGAGCAGGGCCAAACUAAUCCCCCAGCCCAGACCAGCUGACUGCCAGAUGAGCGUGGAAGCCCAGCCAAGACCAGCAGAGUUGCCAGUCAACCCCACUCUAGAUCAGCCAACCCUGACCCCUACCUGCCAACCUACAGACAUGGGAGCAAAAUGGUCAUUUUGUGGUGGUUUGUUACAUAGCAGCAGACAACUGAUGUAAUCUACACAAACAAUUCUCAUUUGGUGACUACUUUAGUCAGAAUCCUUAUGUUUACAACUAAUUAAAAGCUAACCCA
rnacentral:lncRNA from 1 species